ACUUACCAACCCGAUGCAAACUGCGAAUACCGGAGAAUGUUAUCACGGGAGACACACGGCGGGUGCUAACGUCCGUCGUGAAGAGGGAAACAACCCAGACCGCCAGCUAAGGUCCCAAAGUCAUGGUUAAGUGGGAAACGAUGUGGGAAGGCCCAGACAGCCAGGAUGUUGGCUUAGAAGCAGCCAUCAUUUAAAGAAAGCGUAAUAGCUCACUGGUCGAGUCGGCCUGCGCGGAAGAUGUAACGGGGCUAAACCAUGCACCGAAGCUGCGGCAGCGACGCUUAUGCGUUGUUGGGUAGGGGAGCGUUCUGUAAGCCUGCGAAGGUGUGCUGUGAGGCAUGCUGGAGGUAUCAGAAGUGCGAAUGCUGACAUAAGUAACGAUAAAGCGGGUGAAA
rnacentral:rRNA from 1 species